rnacentral:rRNA from 1 species
UACGAAGGGGGCUAGCGUUGCUCGGAAUUACUGGGCGUAAAGGGAGCGUAGGCGGAUAGUUUAGUCAGAGGUGAAAUCCCGGGGCUCAACCUCGGAACUGCCUUUGAUACUGGCUAUCUUGAGUAUGGGAGAGGUGUGUGGAACUCCGAGUGUAGAGGUGAAAUUCGUAGAUAUUCGGAAGAACACCAGUGGCGAAGGCGACACACUGGCCCAUUACUGAAGCUGAGGCUCGAAAGCGUGGGGAGCAAACAGG